AAUAUGCUUUUAAUUUCAAGUACCAUUCGCGAAUGGACCACUAUACGUGAUUUGGCCGUAACGUAUAUCUGACGUUAAGCAAAAUAUAUCGGCGGCAUUCUCAAAUAUGUAGGAAUUGUUAUUGCUUUUGAAAAGUGCAACUUACAUACAUGCACUCUAUAUUUCACAGAGAGAAGCUGUUCCUGUUAAUGCUCGAAUUGAAACUUUCAAGGCUACGUUUGGAUUCGAACUUAAGCUUUUUUGAUCAGGUACCCGACCUUCCCCUUUCAACAAGUGUCUGUAACAUAGGAGAAAUUUCCGAUUCCUGCUGACGUCUCAGUGUAGGGGAAAAGCCGUUGCUGUUGGCAGUUUGAUGUUACGAUGCUGAAAGUGGAUACACCCAGAGCCUCCAUGACUGAUGGAUGAUACUCCCUCGUCAUUUCUUUUUGUUGUUAAUCUACGCUGAGAGAUAAUUGAAAACUAGAUCUACCUGCGUUUUUGUUUAAUCACGUGAGAACAUUAAGUGUCUCAGAUACAUGUUCUCAAUCUCUCGCUAAACAAAUAAACAUAGUCUUAAAAUAUUUACAUUGUUUCCUUUGCUUCUUUGAGAUGUCCAGCUUUUGAAGUUGGAGAUUAUCUGUCCCUGGUUUUUAAUGAUACAGCACAACU